rnacentral:rRNA from 1 species
AUUGAACGCUGGCGGCAUGCCUUACACAUGCAAGUCGAACGGCAGCAUGAUCUAGCUUGCUAGAUUGAUGGCGAGUGGCGAACGGGUGAGUAAUACAUCGGAACGUGCCCUGUAGUGGGGGAUAACUAGUCGAAAGAUUAGCUAAUACCGCAUACGACCUGAGGGUGAAAGUGGGGGACCGCAAGGCCUCAUGCUAUAGGAGCGGCCGAUGUCUGAUUAGCUAGUUGGUGAGGUAAAGGCUCACCAAGGCGACGAUCAGUAGCUGGUCUGAGAGGACGAUCAGCCACACUGGGACUGAGACACGGCCCAGACUCCUACGGGAGGCAGCAGUGGGGAAUUUUGGACAAAGGGCGAAAGCCUGAUCCAGCAAUGCCGCGUGUGUGAAGAAGGCCUUCGGGUUGUAAAGCACUUUUGUCCGGAAAGAAAUGGCUCUGGUUAAUACCUGGGGUCGAUGACGGUACCGGAAGAAUAAGGGCCGGCUAACUACGUG